rnacentral:rRNA from 1 species
AUGAACGCUGGCGGCGUGCCUCAUCCCUGCCAGUCGAGCGAACAGACGAGGAGCUUGCUCCUCUGACGUUAGCGGCGGACGGGUGAGUAACACGUGGAUAACCUACCUAUAAGACUGGGAUAACCUCGGGAAACCGGAGCUAAUACCGGAUAAUAUAUUGAACCGCAUGGUUCAAUAGUGAAAGACGGUUUUGCUGUCACUUAUAGAUGGAUCCGCGCCGCAUUAGCUAGUUGGUAAGGUAACGGCUUACCAAGGCAACGAUGCGUAGCCGACCUGAGAGGGUGAUCGGCCACACUGGAACUGAGACACGGUCCAGACUCCUACGGGAGGCAGCAGUAGGGAAUCUUCCGCAAUGGGCGAAAGCCUGACGGAGCAACGCCGCGUGAGUGAUGAAGGUCUUCGGAUCGUAAAACUCUGUUAUUAGGGAAGAACAAAUGUGUAAGUAACUAUGCACGUCUUGACGGUACCUAAUCAGAAAGCCACGGCUAACUACGUG